rnacentral:hammerhead_ribozyme from 1 species
AUCUAGCUGACGAGUCCUAAUUAGGAUGAAACGCGUGUCCUGGAU